UUCCUAGUAUUUCUCCAUUUUCCGGAUUUGCCUGUUUGGGACCUAGACUUACCUGAAGCCUUAGCAAUCAGACCAAAGCUGUUAGAAAAACAGCACAACAACCAACCCCAAGCCACCUCAGUCUUUCAGCCUACCAUAGUUGCUCAUUACAAAUACAUAAUUAGCCCCAGCAGAUAGCCUUGCUAAUAUGCCACUGAUAAGCACACAGACACACCAGAUGCAGGAAACCAUUAUUUUAAAGUUACAAGCAGGGUUUUUCCAGGAACUUCCUUCUCCCUUAUUACUGGCAAGGCAAUGAACAUGGGUGUCCUGACACACAGCCAGACAGAAGGCACCCCGAGGGGAAAGCACGGCUCCAACCCACUUCUAUGUCCACGUCCAGCACUGUCGCUGCAAUCCAGUCCCAGUGUCUCAGUCUACUAUGCCACUCUGGCCAGCUCCGUGGGCUUUGCACUUCUGUUUGCAGUUUCACUUCUGAAGGAAAUUCAAUAAUCGAAAAAAAGGAAAAAAAUGAGAAGUUAAUGCAACAUAGGAAGGGACUCUAGUACACCCGAGUAACUUUUUUUGUAGGAAGGAAUUGCGGCUACACCCAGAAAGCCCCAGAAGGACAGAGUGCCGGGGAUUUUCUGUUUCAGGGGAAAGGCUGCGAUCAGUUUUGCUGAAGCUGGCAGCAAUUCAGCCAGCUGCGAGUCUUAGGGCCGGGAGGAGCGAUAAAUCCAGUCCCAGACAUCUCCUGUAUGAAGUCACACAGCGCUGUAUCAAAUUAAGAAACUAAUAGAAAGACGUAGUUGGCGCGAGGCGAGCUAACUGCCAUAAAAAAGUGAAAUAAACAGGAAGAGCACUGACAUACCUCGGCAGCUACAACUGAAGUAACCUCACCGGGAAAGCUCUCUCCCGGCACCGAGGCCUUGUAAAGCGGCUGUAUGCGGAAGCAAAGGUCUGGCAGGAAUUACAGCAGGCAGCACAUGCUGCGCGUUGCACAACGCUGUGCUUUCCAGAAGGCACCGAGCCCUGGUGCGCCAGCACACGCACCCAGCCUGCCUGCCGCGGCCCCGCUGUGCUGCUUAACCUGCCACCUCUGCAGCACGCGCUUCUUGCCAGCGGUGUGACCACUGGCUUGAGAAAAGUCCUCGGCGAAUGUGAGAUUUUCAGAUGUCCGACAAAGACCCCAGCCGAAGCUGAGCUCCAGCCGCUUUUCGGAAUAUACCAAGACGCCACCAGCACGUGCAGAGCAGAGCCUGGCUGUUCUCAAGGCGUGAAGCCACCGCCACCCCUGGCACCGGAGCUCCCCACCACAUCCCAGCCCUCGCGUCCCAGCUGACGGGCACAGGUGAGGAGGGGUCCGGGCCCCCGUGGCGGCCUCGGGUGGUGGGGGAAGUGAAAGGGCCUCUGGGGGCUGAUGAAGGCCAGCAUGGUUUUCAAGAAAGCCUUCUUGAAACCCUCAUUCUGCACCACCCCUGCCCCAGGGUUCGUGGUCACUUAAAACGAAAGGUAAAUAACAAGAUGGAUGCUGCUCUUUUUCUUGGUAGGCAUGCUGAAGCCUUCUGCUCUGCUCUGCAGAAGCAGAUAGGCAGGGUGGUCUGAGCUCUGACCUGAAGGUAGGGGGCUGUGGCUCUUGCCUGUGUUGCUAAACACCCACCUGGGAGCCCUGUGGUUCUCAGGUUAGGUAACCGUGUUUGCGAUUCUCAGCGUCACGCCUCUGCGUCUAAAAAUAGGGAUACUGAUGCACACUGAAAGAAGCGAUGUUGAGAGAAGGGAAAAUGGUAAAAUCACGACAGUUUGACCCAAGUGAAAGUACAGACAACAGCACUGCAGUGGGCUACCUUACAGUUGCAGGAGAAAUCUUGAUUUUCAGUAGGGAAAGUUUCCUUCUCCAGAUAGUAUUCUCCAAAACCUUUUUGCUGCCCCAUAUGAUCUAGCAAUGAAAAGCUCUUCAGUAUUGAUUUGGCAUCAAACUCAGCCUUUGAGACUUGAGACAGAAAACUGUUUCUAUAGACUGAUUUGUGAACUAAGUGAAAUGAUGUGGUUUUUCCCAUUAGCCAAAGCUGACCUCGUGUAGCAUCCUGCAACCUCUUACACAGGUUACACGGAAACAGCCAAGAGCAGAAGGAAGCGCAGAAGACAGCCCAUCCUCCUGCUCACAUAGCUCACCCAGCAUGGCUCAGAUGCCCAUAAAACAGCAGGUUAAAUUGUAAGCUUGAGUCAGGAUGAUUCGAUGAAUAGAACCAGUAAAGAUAGCUCAGACUUGGUGUGACACGUUGGGAACUUUGUUCCAGAGAUGUAAGACUUUGAUUGUACUGUUUGAUUCCAGCAGCUGCUCACAAAUAAUGCACUUCUCUGACCAGCAACCUGAGAACUCCUCCUCAGGUUACGUAGCCUUUUCUUUCUUCAGCUUCUAUUUUCCUGUGUAGGAAGGUAACUUGCCUUCCAUGUACAGAGGACCUAGAUGACAGUGUUUCCUGAGGUGUCUUGUAGAUUUAUAUUUGGAUGCACCGUGGUAACUCAGACUUCGGAACAGAAUUUAGCUCCUAAGCAUGUCCUGUAUGGCACUGCAGUGACUUCAUGCUGUGAUUUUACUUUUUUCUUGUAG
rnacentral:lncRNA from 1 species